AGGGAAUUUAGUCACCUGCAGAUGUCCGAGGAGAAGAAGAAGAGGGGCUUUGUCACAUCCACAAAAGGAGCAAAGUUUGAACCAUCUGGAAAAAGGAGGUCAAACUCCUAAAACGGAGAAGAGGAAUCUCCGUGAGGACAUUUAUCGUCGUCUUGUCCAUCUUGUCCGAGCUCACCUGGAUCCUCGCCACUUGUCGAUCAUGCCCACUUUGCUGAUGUCGCCCUUGCCGGUGAAGACGGUGUAGUAACCGUCAAAGGUGCCGUUGUACUGAGGGACAGGGGGAAGAUCUCGUCGCAUCAUCACAGCCAGCGACAAUAGCAAAACAUGAGAUGAGGAUGAUUAAUCGGCGAGACGAUGCGCUGUAAUUUAUCACAGCGCAGCUGCGUGCCUCACCGCCACCGCCAAGUUCAAGCAGG